rnacentral:rRNA from 1 species
UACGUAGGUGGCAAGCGUUGUCCGGAUUUACUGGGCGUAAAGAGCGCGCAGGCGGUCGGAUAAGUCGAAUGUGAAAGCCCCCGGCUCAACUGGGGAGGGUCAUUCGAUACUGUUCGACUCGAAGGCAGGAGAGGGAAGUGGAAUUCCCGGUGUAGUGGUGAAAUGCGUAGAUAUCGGGAGGAACACCAGUGGCGAAGGCGGACUUCCUGGCCUGUUCUUGACGCUGAGGCGCG